rnacentral:rRNA from 1 species
UACGUAGGGGGCUAGCGUUGUCCGGAUUUAUUGGGCGUAAAGAGCGUGUAGGCGGCCAGGUAGGUCUGCUGUGAAAACUCGAGGCUCAACCUCGAGACGUCGGCGGAAACCAUCUGGCUAGAGUCCGGAAGAGGAGAGUGGAAUUCCUGGUGUAGCGGUGAAAUGCGCAGAUAUCAGGAAGAACACCCGUGGCGAAGGCGGCCCCCUGGGCCGAACCUGACGCUGAGGCGCGAAGGCUAGGGGAGCGAACGGG